UACGGAGGAUCCGAGCGUUAUCCGGAUUUAUUGGGUUUAAAGGGAGCGUAGGUGGAUUGUUAAGUCAGUUGUGAAAGUUUGCGGCUCAACCGUAAAAUUGCAGUUGAAACUGGCAGUCUUGAGUACAGUAGAGGUGGGCGGAAUUCGUGGUGUAGCGGUGAAAUGCUUAGAUAUCACGAAGAACUCCGAUUGCGAAGGCAGCUCACUGGACUGCAACUGACACUGAGGUUCGAAAGUGUGGGUAUCAAACAGG
rnacentral:rRNA from 1 species